GUAAAUACGGGCUGGGCACACAGCAUGGUGUAAACAAACAGCUCAUCUUCUGCACAGCAGAGGGGGAAAACCGUGGGCAAUCCUGUGGCUGGAGAUGCCUAACUGCAUUUUUAACUCCUGUGAUACACACGAUAGCAUGGCACUGCGUAUCGCCCAGACAUUGCAGCUCCCUCUGACCUAGAAGGAGAGGCACGUCAGAUUACUUCAUGCAACAAGACCUGACCAGGCACAUUUCCGCAACGUUCUCUGCAGCAGAUGAUCUCAGGAGCCUGGCAUUUUACCUGUCCUCAACUCCCUCCUUUGGUGCAGAUCAUUGGAACACAGAAGCUUCACUGACUGCAUCUUGGUCAGCAACUGAUUUGCUCUGAUAGGUACCAGAGCACCUUGGAAUAUCAAUUUCACAUGAGUAAACUGAUCUGAAGACUAUUAAAAGAUUGGCUGGCAUUUGGGCAAACAAGACAGAUAUUUUUUCCUCGUGUGAGUCAUCUUUUUAUUUGACCAGUCAGACGACUUUGGGAUAGCAGGCAAAAUAUUUCUGAAGAACGCAUUUGUUUUAAUCAAAAGAGCAUCGCUGUUGAUUACACCUGUUUUCAAAAUGCUGAGUUUUCCAGUUAGGAGCAAGCACAGUGAUGUAAUUAUUUUACAGCUUAACUAUGAAUUGCAAGCGACAAGAAGCAAGGGAUUUCUAAACAUCAGAUGAAACAAGAAGCUAGUGUCUGAAUCAUCAGUAGAACGCUUGCAAACAAUGAAUCAAUGGAGGAAAGAUAGAGGCCAUGGUGUAUACUCAAAGGGGAAGAAAUUCAUCAAUAAAAUAGCACGAACAACUGUUACUGUAAACAACAUUUUAAGCUUGAGCUCUGUCAGAGAAGGCUUCUCAGAUAAAUAUUUUAAAGCAAUUGGUGAUGUUACUCAAAGAGGGUCCCAGUCCUACAAAGACCUGAGCAAUUAUCAGCAUUUUUUGAGAGCAUAACCUCAUUUCCAGGGCACGGCUGAGAACAGACAGUUGAAAAUACAAAAGCCGGGAGAGGUUUUCCGGAAGAAACAAAAGAAGAGUUUCAAAUGAAAGAUUUGCUGAAAGGAGAAAAAAUAUUCUAAGUGGCAUUUUGCAUUAAAAUAUGUUGUAAUAAAAUAGUUUUACAAAAUAAACUGCUGCGAAGUUGUUAAGAUAAGCUUUCUGACCCUCUCUGUGGACACCAUAGCAGACAACCCACACCCCAGCAUCUUCCUUUUCCCACUUAUCCCACACAGCUGUUAUCUUCAGUCGCGCUGCUCAGGCAGGGCUCACCCCGUGUCCCUGCAGCUCCCAGCCCCGCAGCUCUGCUAGCUCCCUGGCCAAGGCUUCCAGCCCUGGUUCAGCCAGAUCCUAGGAGAAGAUGAACUGCUCUCUGAGAUGCUCCUUUCUCCCUCUAG
ensembl:lncRNA